UGACACUGAACUAAACGUUCAUGUGUGUUAGUGCCUCUGUCCAUGGUGCUGAUUUAUAACUCACCAUGGUAAUAAUAAUGUAUAUAUACACUAUAAGCUUCUUAACUUGUUUGGUUUUAGUUUGAAUAACUUUUUCUUUAAAGCUCCGCUCUGUUUUCUGUGCAGCCUCGUCACGGAAGGAGAGCAGUGUGUAUUUUAUAAAGUGCUCUAGAACAAAAAGCAAACGUCUUCAUCCUUUUCCUUCCGUCUCUUUAUUUCCACGGAGAAACUCAUUGCCUUAACAGCAUUGCUUUGAUCGGGUCUUUUACUUCCACAUUAUGCCAGUUUACUGCUUUAGAUGGUUCUGUUAUGAAGUUUAUUCAGACUUUACUAAAUUACUGUGAAUUAGUGUGAGUUUGUGCGUGUGUGUGUGUUUCUGUGCUGUGGAGAGGUGUUAAUAACGUUCUCUGUGCAAACCGAGUGUUUGCUUGUUUUUUAUAGUAAUUAAAGUGACUUCAACUACAUCUAAAGCUACACGUAAAACACACAAACACACACACACACACAGCUCUGUUUGACGCCAGAGGUUUAUUUUUGUGCGUGAAUGCGGCUCAUUUCAGUGGAUAAUACGUACACAGGAGAGACAGAGACCUACUCAAAGUUUAUCACAAAGGAGGAUCGUCAGCCUGUGUGUGUGCGCGUGUGUGUGUCUGUGUGUGUGUGUGCGUGUGUGUGCGUGUGUCUGUGGUUCCUCUGUCAGGACUUUUUAACAAGCAAUCGAGCCCCCACGGGAAAACACUGACAAAAUAACAUCAUCCCUCUCCCUCUCUCUGUGCCCCCCCUCCUCUAAUAAGUCCAAUACCUCCCUCUCUGCGUCUCUCUGUCUCUCUGUCCGGGGGCGCUGCCAUUUCUCGCCUCCCUCCAUCCGUCUCGCCGCCUCCCUCCCACUCGCCGUCUCUUAUAAUAAGGCGGAUGUGCUGCUGCAGUCCUGCGGGGACGUCAGCAUACGUCUGUUAUCGACGGUGGGAUUGUAAGUCUAACGACACCAUUUACCCAAAGUUAUAUUAAUAGAGAGCAAACAAACAAAUGCCUCCGCCCGAGUUUGACAUGAAUGUAGAACAGCGGCCUGCGGCUCAAGGAAGAAAUCUAUAUUUCUUUUACAAAUAUCAUUGCUAAUCGUUGUUGCACACUUUUCCCUUUUCAUUAUGAAAAGUGUCCUAAAAGUCAUUAUUGCCAAUAUCAACAGUAAUACACGUGGUAAUUAUUGUCUUUAUUUUAGCUGUCUAGCCACCACGCUUUCCUAAUUCCAUCCUGCAGCUACAUUUCCGUUUCUCCUCGUUUAUUUCCUCCUUCUUUCCCUUCCCACCUUCCUAUUUCCAUACCAAUUAAACGUCUUUUCUUACUUCAUUGGUGGCUUUUCCUCCCUGUAUUUGCUAGGCUUUUGAAUGAGUCAAAUGCUGUGAUCGAGGUGCUAAUCACGAUCAAAUGGGUCUUUGAAUUAGGAGUCGCAGCAGGAUCCUCCCCGCAGUCAAGCUCUAUUCAACAGAUAAUAUUCCAACAUGAGCCCCUUUGUCAGGAUUACUUGUUGAAGCAUGUAUUCUUUCUAACGUAUUGAAUACAGUAAUCCCGUAUGAAGCACGCUGUGUGCAACCGCCCCUAAAGGGUUCGAGAGAAUGGGAGAUGAGUAAGUGCACGGCGAUGAAAUGGUGGAUCUUCUCUGAGCAGCGGUUUAUUAGCCGAGAAGGAAGCGCUCAGCUCGCCCGCACGCUUUAACUCUCACACUAACAUCUGAACGAAUUCACGUGAUUCUCGUCCACUCAAUUCACAGUGAAAGGGAUUUCUUUGUGUGCAUCGGCGCCGGGGGGAGUGUGGAGGGGGGGGGGGAUCACGCUGCGUUCAUUCCAAAGACACAAACAACACAAUUCAAACCGGAGCACAGAACGGAAGAACACCCGCUGCCCCGAAAUAAGAAGAAAAUCAAAGGCCUCAAAGACCAAAUUCACCCAGGAACAAAAGCCCUGGAAUUCACGGAGGCGGAGAGCAGCCGAGGAACAAGCGGGGGCAACGCCAGGGAGAGACGGGAACCGUUUUUUAAAGUCGCUUUUAUGUUCAUUUCAACUUUUCAGGAACAACAUUGGAGCUGAGCGGGUUUGAUCUCUGCUGGCUGACGUGAGGGGAAGAAGAGAGGGAGCAAAGCUCAGGAGAAGAAUAAAAAAUAAAUGAAGUGAUGGGAAAUAUCACUUGCAAAUUAGCUUUGCCAGUUCAACAAACAUUUGGAUGUUGGAGCAGCUCGCAUGGACCAGAAAUGGCCGCUGGUCCUCUGGUGUUUAACCACAACAAUAUAAACAGCUUUCUGAAGAGCUCAAAUUAGCUUGAUAUUAAAACCUUCUCUAACCAUUAAAGACUGUGAAGAGAAGGAAACUAGCACCUUUAAAGCUUACUAAUUAUUAUGUAGUUUCUCAUUUUCAAAGCCUAAGUGAACCAUAAAAAAGGGAGGAUGUAUGCUAAGCUAAGCUAGGCUAAGUGACUGUAGGCUGAGGCUUAUAUCUCAACAAGUUAGACAUCUGACGUAGCUCCUCCAACAAUUUUCAGGCACUUUAUAGAAAACCCACAUGUUCAAACUAUAGCUUUGUUAAAGUUAAUACAUCAUAAAUAAAUAACUAUGUUUGGCUACAGGUCGAUUUAUUCAACUCACAGAAUAUAGUUUUGAAACAUUUUUAAGGCAAGGUAACCGAAGGGAGAACAUUCGCGCUCCCGCGGCCCUCGCUGCCAACCUGGCGUACGACUACAGGUCGAUCAAUACUGUGCCGCUGGCG
ensembl:lncRNA